UUAUAUUACUUAUAUUAUUUAUAGUACUUAUAUAAUUUAUAUUAUGGUGAACUGGGUGUUGAAACUGGGUGAUGAAACUGGGUGUUGGUUGAAACCAAGUAACAAACCAUACCGGUCAAGCAGAGAAAACUCUACUUGGCCCGGCUGGGAUUCAAACCCGCAACCUUCAGUUUGCUAGUCGGACGCUCUACCAACUGAUCUACAAGUAUGAUUGACUAGGGGAAGCAAAUCUUUGAGUUAAGCCCGCGGAGUUAAGUCCUUUUCGAGUUAAGCCCCAACCACAAUUUUUUAUGAAAGGUAGGCAUAUGGACAAAUACUGGUAAAUUUUUC